rnacentral:rRNA from 1 species
AGAGUUUGAUCAUGGCUCAGGAUGAACGCUGGCGGCGUGCCUAACACAUGCAAGUCGAGCGAGAAGCCGCCUUUGAACUUUCGAGUGAUAAGGAAUGGUGGACAGCGGCGGACGGGUGAGUAACGCGUAAAUAACCUGCCAUACACACAGAGAUAGCCAUCGGAAACGGUGAUUAAUAUCUGAUGAAGCUUAAUAGACAAAAGUCAAUUAAGUUAAAGAAUUUUGGUGUAUGAUGGAUUUGCGUUUGAUUAGCUAGUUGGUAAGGUAAGAGCUUACCAAGGCGAUGAUCAAUAGCCGGCCUGAGAGGGUGAUCGGCCACACUGGAACUGAGACACGGUCCAGACUCCUACGGGAGGCAGCAGUGGGGAAUAUUGCACAAUGGAGGGAACUCUGAUGCAGCAACGCCGCGUGAACGAGGAAGGCUUUCGAGUCGUAAAGUUCUGUUUUAAGGGAAGAAGAAGUGACGGUACCUUAAGAGCAAGCCACGGCUAAUUACGUGCCAGCAGCCGCGGUAAUACGUAAGUGGCAAGCGUUAUCCGGAAUUACUGGGCAUAAAGCGUUCGUAGGCGGUUAAGAAAGCCAGGUAGUGAAAGCCACAGGCCUAACCUGUGUAAGCUAAUGGAACUUCUUAACUUGAGUACAGUAGAGGAAAGUGGAACUCCUAGUGUAGUAGUGAAAUGCGUAGAUAUUAGGGAGAACAUCAGUAGCGAAGGCGACUUUCUGGACUGUAACUGACGCUGAGGGACGAAAGCGUGGGUAGCGAACAGGAUUAGAUACCCUGGUAGUCCACGCCGUAAACGAUGGAUAUUUGAUGUUGGGUGUCAAAAGCUCAGUGUCGGAGCAAAUGUAUUAAAUAUCCCGCCUGGGGAGUACGGUCGCAAGACUGAAACUCAAAAGAAUUGACGGGGGCUCACACAAGCGGUGGAGCAUGUUGUUCAAUUCGAAGCAACGCGAAGAACCUUACCUGGGCUUGACAUGCUAGUAGUACGAACCCGAAAGGGGGAGGACUCUUAACCGAGAGCUAGCACAGGUGCUGCAUGGCUGUCGUCAGCUCGUGUCGUGAGACGUUGGGUUAAGUCCCGUAACGAGCGAAACCCUUGUUGUCUGUUGCCAUCGGGUCAUGCCGGGCACUCUGGCAAGACUGCCGGUGUUAAACCGGAGGAAGGCGGGGACGACGUCAAGUCAUCAUGGUCCUUACGUCCAGGGCUACAAACGUGCUACAAUGGCCAGUACAGAGAGAAGCGAGACCGCGAGGUGGAGCAAAUCUUCAAAGCUGGCCCCAGUUCGGAUUGGAGGCUGCAAUUCGCCUCCAUGAAGUUGGAAUCGCUAGUAAUCGCGGAUCAGCAACGCCGCGGUGAAUAUGUUCCUGAGCCUUGUACACACCGCCCGUCAAGCCACCCAAGCUGGAAGCACCCGAAGUCAGGCGCCAAUAGUCCUGCCGAAGGUGAGUCUGGUGAGGGGGACUAAGUCGUAACAAGGUAGCC